rnacentral:rRNA from 1 species
AUGGCGGCGCCGACGAUCUACUCCGGCGAGGUGUGGGCAGAGCUGCGCCUGGCGGACGCGCGCGACGUGCCCCACACCCACAACCUUAUCCACCAGAUGGCGGAGUUCGAGCUCCUCACCGACCUCUUCGCCGCCAUCCACGAGCUCCUCGCGUCCACGCUCUUUCGCACGCCCGAGACCCCCUUCACCUCCUUCACCGCCCUCAUCCUCGACCUCUCCACGUCCUCCGUCCCGGCCUCAUCGGACACCGUCAGCUCCCGCAGCCUCGGCCUCUCCGCGUCCCCGCUCGCCAAACUGGAGGUCGCCUUUCCAUCGACGCGCGGCGGUGGGCGCGUCACGGUCGGGUUCGUCAUCUGCUUCCCCAACUACUCCACCAUCCUCGCAAGGCCCGAGCUAUACGUGGAGGACAUCUUCGUGCGCGCGCCCUAGCGCCGCCGUGGGCUGCGCCGCACGAUUUCGUUCACCGUCGUCGGCAGGGCCGCGUGGAGUGGUGUGUGCUCGAUUGGAACCAGAACACCAUGGACUUCUACGAGGUGA